UUUCCUACGGGGGGGCAGCAGUAGGGACCGCAAAUGGACGAAAGUCUGACGGAGCAACGCCGCGUGAGUGAUGAAGGUUUUCGGAUCGUAAAACUCUGUUGUCAGGGAAGAACACGUACGGGAGUAACUGUCCGUACCUUGACGGUACCUGACCAGAAAGCCACGGCUAACUACGUGCCAGCAGCCGCGGUAAUACGUAGGUGGCAAGCGUUGUCCGGAAUUAUUGGGCGUAAAGCGCGCGCAGGCGGUCUUUUAAGUCUGAUGUGAAAGCCCACGGCUCAACCGUGGAAGGUCAUUGGAAACUGGAAGACUUGAGUGCAGAAGAGAAGAGCGGAAUUCCACGUGUAGCGGUGAAAUGCGUAGAGAUGUGGAGGAACACCAGUGGCGAAGGCGGCUCUUUGGUCUGUAACUGACGCUGAGGCGAAAGCGUGGGACAAAUUAGAUACCCGGGUAGUCA
rnacentral:rRNA from 1 species